UUUAUGAGAGUUUGAUCCUGGCUCAGGACGAACGCUGGCGGCGUGCCUAAUACAUGCAAGUAGAACGCUGAAGUCUGGUGCUUGCACUAGACGGAUGAGUUGCGAACGGGUGAGUAACGCGUAGGUAACCUGCCUCAUAGCGGGGGAUAACUAUUGGAAACGAUAGCUAAUACCGCAUAACAGUAUUAACCGCAUGGUAGAUACUUGAAAGGAGCAAUUGCUUCACUAUGAGAUGGACCUGCGUUGUAUUAGCUAGUUGGUGAGGUAACGGCUCACCAAGGCUUCGAUACAUAGCCGACCUGAGAGGGUGAUCGGCCACACUGGGACUGAGACACGGCCCAGACUCCUACGGGAGGCAGC
rnacentral:rRNA from 1 species